UACUUGUUCUAUAUCUGUCUAAAGAUUGCCGUGCUACUAGGCAGUGUAAUUUUUUUCUCUCUUUCCUUUUUCCCCUGCAGUGCUUCUAAGUAUAGUGACAGCAGCAUCAGGCUUUCCUAGUCUCAGCGCAAGCUCAGUGAAAAUCUGGGAAAUGUAAGUGGUAACAUGAGAGACUGCUUUAUUUGGCAGUGCUUUUAAAAAAAAAAAAAAGAAGAAGAAGAAGAUAGGACAAAUGGCAAAGUAGUGUUUGGACUGCAGGAUGAACAAUCAAUAGGCAGAAAGCAAGAUAGAGGCUUUCUCUGCUUUUGGAUCGACAAUCGACAGCUGAGAGACUAUUUUUUGCUAUGGUUGACUAAAUAUGGUCAGGGAAGAGAGAGGCACAAGAGAGCCUGUUUGCCUGGGAGUGCAUGUUUCAAAUGCUUAGCUGUCUAUAAAGCUGUAACAGUUUAGCCUGUGAUCACUGAGGGAAGAAUAUAAGUUAGCCUCUCUAGUGACCAUGUGGAAGUCCUGACCUCGCUUGCAGACUUGACUUCUGGAUAUGACAAGGUGAGGUUCUGUGUGUUCUGAUACAUCCCCCUUACUUCACCCGGCUCAUGAAAAGAAGUGCUGAAUCAGCGAAUAGAGUGAACGAACGACCAGGAUGAGAUGGCUGCGGCUGAUGUGACUCUCUAGGUCAUUACCUUUCCUCCUGCUGCAAAUUCUGCACAACACUAAGCUUACAGGACCUAGAAGUAAACUACCAAAAAAGAAGAAACUUGCACUAAAGACUAAGAAGAAACACUAAGCUGAUUUUAUCAACUUCUGAAGUUCACUGUAAAACUCCACCGAUUCUAUGAAUCUCUUGAGAAAAGAAUCAAAUGAGGACAAAGUUCAACAAAUAAUUGGUCAAAUGUUUAGAAAUAUCUAUGUCCACCAAGAACAAGGAUCCAUAAAUGGCAUUAAUGUCAUGUUGCAGGUAAAUCUGUUGUCAAAUUUAGUCUCUGAUAAAUUAGUCUCUACAAAUGACUUACCACUGCUCUAUACCAGUAAGCUGAAUGUUUUACUAACAAAUGAGAAAAUAAAAUAUUUCAUGUUUUUACAGCUAACAAGUUAGUAAUACCUACCCAGAGUACAUACUUCUUUAUGUACCCAUAUGAACAUACAAUGCUAUGGAAUGUAAAGAAGUAUGUAUUUUUGGUAGGCAAUAAAUCACCAAGAGGGAAUUAAGCUGCAGCUAAAAGAAGCUCUUGCUUCUUUCUACAUGAAUGAGAAUGAUAUGGUAAAUUAACCUAGUGUACGUAGAUGACCUUUGGCAAUAUUAACACCUUCUACCUACUAGUUAGAGAUAGAAACUAAUUAUCCUCAAGAUUUACAUUGUGUGGGGAAAAAAGUCCUACUAAAGUACAUCUCAAAUUAUCAUCCAGUUCCUCUUAAAUCACUGAAGUUUAAAACACAUUUUACAUUUUUAAGUAAAGCUUUCAUGACUAAACUUUGACUACAAAAAAGAAAACACUAUUAU